AAUUGUAUAGCGCAAUGGUAACGCACUUGUUUUUGUAACGGGAGGACCUGGGUUUAAUUUUUGGUACGAUUU
rnacentral:tRNA from 2 species